AUUUACGUUGUGUAUGUUUUACCACAGUUUAAAAAAAUCUAAGUUUUAAGUAGAGUUUUCUAAAGUUCUUGACGUAUAUUACUUUUUACCUCUCCAUUUUUUCCUGACUGCAAAGUGGAAUUAUUCAAAACCUACUGUGACUUUAUGUUUUAAGUGGAUUUAUAAAUUCUUGAAGACGGUUGAGCUGGAGUUGUCUGUGGCAUUAGGUACUUCAAAGAGGUGUGACACCAAGACAUGGUCAAAGACACAGAGGUUGACCCAGGGCGCCUGAGAUCUCUUUGGGACCCAGCAGUGUAAUCAUGGGUAAGGCUGAUGGCAGCAGAUUCUGAGUUUUAAAGCCUGGAUUCAUGGACAGAAGAAUGAUUUACUGUGGCUUUCUUCCCAUCUGGAAGAUGCGUGUCAUGAAAUGGUUUGGAACUCUUGGAGGACACACAGCUCGUUGGUUGUGCUAGUGAACAGAAGGUAAAUUCUUUGACGUGGGUUCUGAGCUCGUUGGCAGGAGCUGCCCAAACCAUCCUUUCUUGGUAGAAUUGGAGUCAGCAAACUCCAGGGCGGGUGGGAAAGAAGCCCCACGAGCCAGUCCUCAGGGCUGCCGAGCUGUCGACAGCAACAUGCCUCUUUCCUCCCAUCUCUAGCCACACUUUUCAUCACUUCCAGGAGGUGCACGCAGCGUCCCUCUCCCCCAGGACAGUCAGCCUUCGUGGGGUCUUCCCUCUUAAGCAUCCCAGAGAAGGGAAGUGGGCUUUCAGCAAUGUCAGCUUGGACAGUUGCCAGUUUUCUUCCCAGACAGACUUCCCACUUUCCCCAGGUGUUUGUCUGGCUGGUUAUACAUCAAAAAUUUUACAGAUCUCUCAAAUGCAGCUGGAGUGCUUUGGGACAUACCCCGCAAUCAGACUAAGACAGUAAUGUCCCGCCAGAUCUGUCACGUCACUGUCUCUGACAGAUUUCUCAUCACCACGCACCAUUUUGCCCCUCUGCCAGCUGCUCAAAUGUACCCACUCGUGACUUCCUAGUUUCUUUGCUUAGUCAAUCUACUCAGUGGCUGUUGAGAGCGACUGACCUAUUUUCUAGAUUUUUCUACAUUUCCUAUUUCUUACAACUUAUUGUAUUUACCUCCUGGCCUCAGGAAGGAUUUCCUUGGGGUACACAGUUAUUUCUGUGAGGAUCAGGUGACUUAAAAGACAGCAGAGGCUCCCAGCAAAAGCUAUGUUUCCAAUGGAUCCAAUUAAUCCUUGUCUCUCAGCUGGCAUCUUGAUAGGCUCCUUCUAGAAAGCAUCUUAAAGAAAGGACACAGUGGUGGCUAAACACUAGUUAACAAGGAGCAGAGAAGCAGAAAGCUGUUUUACCAGUUUAAUGGGAGAGAAGGAUAUAACAGACUAAAGAAACCCUGAAGACACUGAGAUUCGUGUAUGUUCUAUCAUGAGAUCCACGUGCUACAGGGACUUGCCUCAGACUGGCUUUCAUUGCAUUUCUCCUGCCCCAUCCCAUCGACUGCCAUACUCCCCUUUCCCUUUUAACUCCUAUGAGCUUAGAGAAAGGAUCCCCAUAAAGAGAACACAAUCCUCAAGGAAGUUACAGAUGAUGUAAUUCAACACGGUUCCGUCCUCAGAAGCAAGACUCUGCUUCUCUAGGAGCAAAAAGACGUUGCUUAGGUAAGUGAGAGAUGGAAGGAGGAGAAGUUCCACUAGCCAGCUUACUUUCCUGCUGGUCAUGGACGAAGCACCUGAGGCUGCUUUUCUUGAGAGACAGACACUGGCCUGAAUUCUUCAUUAGCUAUUCUGAUAAAGUAGGAUGUGGAUAUUUACGUGCUGACAGGGUCAUCGGUGCGCCCACAGUUUCCUCCCCUCAGAGGGCACAGUCUCUUCCUUCUACCUCACCUCCUGUUUCCAGACCUGCUCCGCUACUGAAGCAGAGUGAGACCUGCCAGAGACGGGCAAAGGUGGGAGCAGGGGAUGAAGGUGGGUUUCUGUUCUGGGGGAACGAUUACUCACAUAGCCUUGACUAUCAUCUCAACACAGAAGCUUUCACCCUGUGGUUACCACCGCAGCCGCAUCUGUGUGCAUCCUGUUUUGUUUCAAGUCAUCAUUAAUUUCAACGGGUGAUAUUCAUUUACUAACACCUAUUUGGGAAAGUAAUACAUACUGGAGUAAAGGGACAUGUCCACUGUAGGAGUCAUUUUGAUUUCAGAAAUGUUAACAUGUGAAAUGGGCAUGCUUCUGAAUCAAGGAAGUAUGGUAGAGAGCUUGGAGCUGCACGCAGAAAACAAUCAGGAGAGAUAUGAAUAACGGCAGGCAAGUCAGAGCAAAUACUUAGAUAGGACAAAAGGGCUGCAAAGAAGACUGGCUGAAGGAAUCAGAUGGAUAAAAUACAAAGAAAGGAAGAAAUGUCUGAGGGACCGGCAGCCUCAUCCCUGUUUUAAAACAGCCUUGAGUUUUAAAACGCCAGACAAUCUCUAUCAAUGCUAAUAGACAUCGCUGUUCCAGAUCUCUAAACACUUGAUAGAUUUUUUUUGUUUUAAAAUAAAGGUUCUGGUUCUUUUAUUUCACAGGGUGACAAGAAUAACCU